rnacentral:lncRNA from 1 species
AUUAGCCAUGGCGCCUUUAAGUCUCAAAAUACAUAUUACUUAUAAUUUGAGUGGAAAAAGUGAUCGAACACGACAUAACUGGUUUAACAUUUCCAACACCCAUAUACAACCCAUAUAGUGUCUACGGAUCCUCUAAAGAUACAAAGAGAAUAAAGAUGGUGCCGGCAACAAGGCCCCGACAAUACCUUAAAAAGUAACCACAAUAUAAACAAAAGUUACUAUACUUGACCCCGAAAUGAAAUGGGGCUCACCGAGUCCGCUGAGAAGAGGAUGCGGCACUAUCUGUGAUCAACACUGUCUGCUAUGAAACCACCUGCAUCCAUUUAAAGAUGCAGCGUCCCCGGCAAAAGGGACGUUAGUACCGUCGAAUAGCACUAGUAUGUAAAGCAAAACACCAUCUCAAUAGAAUUAAUAAUAAUACAAGAGGAACAGUCAAGAAUUCAAUAAGGGCUUCAAAUAAUAUUAAAACAUCAAGUUAAGAAUUUAUAUACGUUUUCAAGUCAAUUUUCAUAUUAUUAGGUUGGGUGAUCUUUAGUGCCGAUGUUCCACAAUUCACAAUACCUUUAUAUUCUUACACGGAGUCCGAUCUCGACCCAAUUGUCAAGGUCGUCUCAUUUGAGACAUCAACCAUAACCAUAAUUUCAUUAUAAUUUUCACCACAGUACCACUAUGUGUGCGACAUGGCGUCCGAUCAUGGCCCGAUCGGCUAGACCGUCUCACCCAAGACAUUACCUUUUUCAGUCAAUCAUCUAACAUCAUACUUCUUUCAUAUACUUUCGAUUCAUUGGCAUUAGUGAUUACGAUUACAAAGUCAUUCUUGGCACUUGGCCGUAUUUCAUAGUUCCAGUCCCUUUUUCCACAUUCAAAUUUCAUUAUCAUUAUCGACAACCAUAAGACUUACAUUCGAUAAAUUAGAUUCACAUAUGAGCAAUUUAGAAAUCUUAGGCACAUAGAGGCUUUUCAUACAAUUUGGCAUAACAACCUUUAUUUCGAUCUUGACAGGAAGUCUUAACAUUUCUAACACAUAUUCCAUAUUUUGAACACAUCCUCAAAUGGCAAUAUAACAUGAUGAAGCAUUUAGAAUAAAUAUUAAACAUACAUCUGUCAACACAAACACAUUAGGAAUAGCCAAUUCAAUAAUAAUCAAGGACUUACUCCAAUUACACGAACAUCAUGGGACUCGAUUCAAAGAAGAAGGGGGAUUUUGCCAACAUACCUCAAAUGAGCUUCUUAAACUCUAAAAUGAUCCGGAUUUCUUAGCCACUUUAAUCUAUUUUAGAAAUAUAACAAGUUGAACCAAAAUUAGGAAGAUCAUCAUGAAUUUAUUUCAUUUGAGCAUAUUAUCAAACACUAGGUGUGUAUCAAUGCUUAAGGCCCUUUUUUUGUGGAAGAUUCCAUCAUUCCCCAACCCAUUAUCUAUUAUUUUUAGCUCACAAUCUUCCCACAUACUUCAAGGAUACAUGCAUGCAAGACAACAACCCCCACACCCAAUAAUUGCCUCUCUAAUUACCCUAUUUUUGUAAAAUAUCAAAAUUGAGAGCUAGGACAUAGAUUCUUACCUUUAGGGUGAAGACUUCCUUUGUUAAUC